rnacentral:tRNA from 1 species
GGAUAGUUUCCUAGGGGAGCUUUGAAGACUAAAGAUGCGGGUUCGAUUCCCGCACUAUCCACCA